rnacentral:rRNA from 1 species
UUUCCUACGGGAGGCAGCAGUAGGGAAUCUUCCGCAAUGGACGAAAGUCUGACGGAGCAACGCCGCGUGAGUGAUGAAGGCUUUCGGGUCGUAAAACUCUGUUGUUAGGGAAGAACAAGUACGAGAGUAACUGCUCGUACCUUGACGGUACCUAACCAGAAAGCCACGGCUAACUACGUGCCAGCAGCCGCGGUAAUACGUAGGUGGCAAGCGUUAUCCGGAAUUAUUGGGCGUAAAGCGCGCGCAGGCGGUUUCUUAAGUCUGAUGUGAAAGCCCACGGCUCAACCGUGGAGGGUCAUUGGAAACUGGGGAACUUGAGUGCAGAAGAGAAAAGCGGAAUUCCACGUGUAGCGGUGAAAUGCGUAGAGAUGUGGAGGAACACCAGUGGCGAAGGCGGCUUUUUGGUCUGUAACUGACGCUGAGGCGCGAAAGCGUGGGGAGCAAACAGGAUUAAUACCCUGGUAGUCC